rnacentral:rRNA from 1 species
AGGCCGCAGAGAAUAGGCUCAAGCAACUGUUUAGCAAAAACACAGGUCUAUGCGAAACCGAAAGGUGAGGUAUAUGGGCUGACGCCUGCCCGGUGCUGGAAGGUUAAGAGGAGAGGUUAGCGCAAGCGAAGCUUUGAAUUUAAGCCCCAGUAAACGGCGGCCGUAACUAUAACGGUCCUAAGGUAGCGAAAUUCCUUGUCGGGUAAGUUCCGACCCGCACGAAAGGCGUAAUGAUUUGAGCGCUGUCUCGACAAUGCACCCGGUGAAAUUGAAAUACCAGUGAAGAUGCUGGUUACCUGCGCCAGGACGGAAAGACCCCAUGGAGCUUUACUCCAGUCUGGUACUGGGACUCGGUAUUGCAUGUACAGGAUAGGUGGGAGGCUAGGAGAUGGUAACGCCAGUUGCCAUGGAGCCGCUGUUGGGAUACCACCCUUGCAGUAUUGGGUUUCUAACCAGCCGCCGUGACCCGGCGGUGGGACAAUGCCAGACGGGGAGUUUGACUGGGGCGGUCGCCUCCGAAAGGGUAUCGGAGGCGCCCAAAGGUUCCCUCAGAAUGGACGGAAACCAUUCGAAGAGUGCAAAGGCAGAAGGGAGCUUGACUGCGACACCGACGGGUGGAGCAGGUACGAAAGUAGGACUUAGUGAUCCGGUGGUAUGAAAGUGGGAUUGCCAUCGCUCAACGGAUAAAAGCUACCCUGGGGAUAACAGGCUUAUCACUCCCAAGAGUUCACAUCGACGGAGUGGUUUGGCACCUCGAUGUCGGCUCAUCGCAUCCUGGAGCUGUAGCAGGUUCCAAGGGUUGGGCUGUUCGCCCAUUAAAGCGGUACGCGAGCUGGGUUCAGAACGUCGUGAGACAGUUCGGUCCCUAUCCGGCGUGGGCGUAGGAUAUCUGAGAGGAGCUGUCCUUAGUACGAGAGGACCGGGAUGGACUGACCUCUGGUGUACCGGUUGCACUGCCAAGUGCAUGGCCGGGUAGCCAAGUCGGGACGGGAUAAACGCUGAAGGCAUCUAAGCGUGAAGCCCCCCUCAAGAUGAGAUAUCCCAUAGAGUAAUCUAGUAAGACCCCUUGAAGACGACGAGGUAGAUAGGUGAAAGGUGGAAGCGUGGUGACAUGUGGAGCUGAUUCAUACUAAUAGGUCGAGGGCUUAACCGA